rnacentral:rRNA from 1 species
AUUGAACGCUGGCGGCAGGCCUAACACAUGCAAGUCGAGCGGGUGAAGGGAGCUUGCUCCCUGAUUCAGCGGCGGACGGGUGAGUAAUGCCUAGGAAUCUGCCUGGUAGUGGGGGACAACGUCUCGAAAGGGACGCUAAUACCGCAUACGUCCUACGGGAGAAAGUGGGGGAUCUUCGGACCUCACGCUAUCAGAUGAGCCUAGGUCGGAUUAGCUAGUUGGUGAGGUAAAGGCUCACCAAGGCGACGAUCCGUAACUGGUCUGAGAGGAUGAUCAGUCACACUGGAACUGAGACACGGUCCAGACUCCUACGGGAGGCAGCAGUGGGGAAUAUUGGACAAUGGGCGAAAGCCUGAUCCAGCCAUGCCGCGUGUGUGAAGAAGGUCUUCGGAUUGUAAAGCACUUUAAGUUGGGAGGAAGGGUUGCUGAUUAAUACUCUGCAAUUUUGACGUUACCGACAGAAUAAGCACCGGCUAACUCUGUGCCAGCCGCCGCCGUAA